rnacentral:rRNA from 1 species
UACGUAGGGCGCAAGCGUUGUCCGGAAUUAUUGGGCGUAAAGAGCUCGUAGGCGGCUUGUCACGUCGGAUGUGAAAGCCCGGGGCUUAACUCCGGGUCUGCAUUCGAUACGGGCUGGCUAGAGUGUGGUAGGGGAGAUCGGAAUUCCUGGUGUAGCGGUGGAAUGCGCAGAUAUCAGGAGGAACACCAAUGGCGAAGGCAGAUCUCUGGGCCGUAACUGACGCUGAGGAGCGAAAGCAUGGGGAGCGAACAGG